GGGUGCGAUCAUAUCAGUGUUAGUGCACCAAAUCCCAUCAGAAAUAUGUAGUAAAGCGUGCUUGGGCUAGAGUAGUACUGGGGUGGGUGACCUCCCAGAAAGUCCUAGUGUUUCACCCU
rnacentral:rRNA from 1 species